rnacentral:tmRNA from 1 species
GGGACUGCAAGGCCUAGACAGUUGGCCUUUUGUCCUUGAUGCAUACCGAGUAUGAACGUAAUCUCGUAAAAAUUCGUUCAAAUGUUAAUUGCAAAAUUGACUGCUAAAGCAAAAGCUCUAGUUUCUCCAUACUUCGGUAUGAAGGAAUUUGCUUUUGUUCCAGCUUUCGCGUAAGCCUAGGUUGGUGUCUCUCUUAUAGACUUCCGAUAUAUAAGUAGAGGCAUAAUAUUAUCGGGAUAGGGGAAAGAAUGACCCGACUUUCUUCCGAAACAAAGGGACUCGAUUAAAAAAUAUUUGGCUCGCUUAAGAAUUUUUUAAUCUAAACAAAAAAGCGAGCUAUGUAUGUAGACUUCAUUGCAAAAACCUUCUGCACGGGGAUUCAAUUUCCCCCAGUUCCACAA